UACGUAGGGGGCAAGCGUUGUCCGGAUUCAUUGGGCGUAGAGAGCUCGUAGGCGGCUUGGCAAGUCGGGUGUGAAACCUCCAGGCUCAACCUGGAGACGCCACCCGAUACUGCCAUGGCUAGAGUCCGGUAGGGGACCACGGAAUUCCUGGUGUAGCGGUGAAAUGCGCAGAUAUCAGGAGGAACACCGGUGGCGAAGGCGGUGGUCUGGGCCGGCACUGACGCUGAGGAGCGAAAGCGUGGGGAGCGAACAGG
rnacentral:rRNA from 1 species